GGACCCGCACAAGUAGUGGAGCAUGUGGUUUAAUUCGAAGAUACGCGCAGAACCUUACCAACACUUGACAUGUUCGUCGCGACUUUAAGAGAUUAAAGUUUUCGGUUCGGCCGGACGAAACACAGGUGCUGCAUGGCUGUCGUCAGCUCGUGUCGUGAGAUGUUGGUUAAGUCCCGCAACGAGCGCAACCCUCACUUUUAGUUGCCAUCAUUAAGUUGGGCACUCUGAAAGAACUGCCAGUGAUAAGCUGGAGGAAGGUGGGGAUGACGUCAAGUCCUCAUGGCCCUUACGUGUUGGGCUACACACGUGCUACAAUGAUAUCUACAACAGGAAGCAAACCUCAAAAAGCUUAUCUCA
rnacentral:rRNA from 1 species